CUUAUAUGACAAGUCCACAGCUAACAUCAUACUCAGUGCAAAGCUGAAAGCUUUUGCUGUAAAAUCAGGAAAAGACAAGGAUGCCCAUUCUCACCACUUUUAUUCAACAUAGUAUUGGAAGUCCUAGCCAGAGCAACUUGGCA